rnacentral:rRNA from 1 species
AGUUUGAUCCUGGCUCAGAUUGAACGCUGGCGGAAUGCUUUACGCAUGCAAGUCGAACGGUAGAGGGGGCAACCCUUGAGAGUGGCGAACGGGUGAGUAAUAUAUCGGAACGUGCCCGGUCGUGGGGGAUAACGUAGCGAAAGCUACGCUAAUACCGCAUACGAUCUACGGAUGAAAGCGGGGGAUCGCAAGACCUCGCGCGAUUGGAGCGGCCGAUAUCAGAUUAGGUAGUUGGUGAGGUAAAGGCUCACCAAGCCGACGAUCUGUAGCUGGUCUGAGAGGACGACCAGCCACACUGGGACUGAGACACGGCCCAGACUCCUACGGGAGGCAGCAGUGGGAAUUUUGGACAAUGGGCGCAAGCCUGAUCCAGCAAUGCCGCGUGCAGGAUGAAGGCCUUCGGGUUGUAAACUGCUUUUGUACGGAACGAAACGGUGAGCUCUAAUACAGUUUGCUAAUGACGGUACCGUAAGAAUAAGCACCGGCUAACUACGUG